GUGAGUGUAGCUCAGUGGUAGAGCACAUGUUCAGCAUGCAUGAGGUCCUGGGUUCAACCCCCAGUACCUCCA
rnacentral:tRNA from 1 species